GGGUGCGCAGGCGGUCUCGUAAGCUGGGUGUGAAAGCCCCGGGCUUAAACCUGGGAAUGGCAUUCAGGACUGCGAGGCUUUGAGUGCGGCAGAGGGAGGUGGAACUUCCAGCGUGUAGCAGGUGAAAUGCGUAGAGAUGUGGAGGAAC
rnacentral:rRNA from 1 species